rnacentral:lncRNA from 1 species
AUGUGGACUUUCAAGGCAAAGGACUAUCUGGACAGCCUGGGAUGCCAAAUCUCCAGCCUAGGUACGAAAAAGUCUGCAGGCCCCAAAUUUCUCCUCUGUAAAACCAAGGGACUUGGACUAGAUGAGCAGCCUCUGAUGACUGACCUUGUAGCUCUGUCAUCAUUGGCUCCAAUUCUACAUACAAUCUUCCACAGCUCUGAAUACAUCUUUGUGUUCCUGGAAAACCUUCUGGUUCCCCAUGGCUUCCUGAACCAAACAACUGCUGAUUACAGUAUCGUGAACUUUCAGCAAGGGCCAGACAGAUUCACAAGUGAAUUCUUUCAAACUUUUAAAGAAUAAUUAAUCCCAAUACUGUACAAGCUAUUUGACAAAGUAAGAAAUGAAGGAGUUUUACCAAAUUCUUUUUAUGACACAAAUAUGGUACUGAUACCUAAGCCAGGAAGACUAAAAACAGAAAAUUAUAGUCCAAUUUCUUUAAUGUACAUAGAUGCAAAAAUCUUAAAUAAAAUACCAGCAAAGAGACUACA